AUUGAACGCUGGCGGCAGGCCUAACACAUGCAAGUCGAACGAGUGGCGGACGGGUGAGUAAUAGCUGGGAAACUGCCUGAUGGAGGGGGAUAACUACUGGAAACGGUAGCUAAUACCGAAUACCAUCGAGUGUGCCUAGAAGGGAGUAGCUGGUGGGGGGGGUAACGGCUCACCAAGGCGACGAUCCCUAGUCGGUCGGAGAGGAUGACCAGCCACACUGGAACUGAGACACGUUCCAGCCUCCUACGGGAGGCAGCAGUGGGGAAUAUUGCACAAUGGGCGCAAGCCUGAUGCAGCCAUGCCGCGUGUAUGAAGAAGGCCUUCGGGUUGUAAAGUACUUUCAGCGGGGAGGCGUUACCCGCAGAAGAAGCACCGGCUAACUCCGUGCCAGCAGCCGCGGUAAUAC
rnacentral:rRNA from 1 species